rnacentral:rRNA from 1 species
CCUACGGGUGGCAGCAGUGAGGAAUAUUGGUCAAUGGACGAGAGUCUGAACCAGCCAAGUAGCGUGAAGGAUGACUGCCCUAUGGGUUGUAAACUUCUUUUAUAUGGGAAUAAAAUGUUCCACGUGUGGGAUUUUGUAUGUACCAUAUGACUAAGAAUCGGCUAACUCCGUGCCAGAAGCCGCGGUAAUACGGAGGAUCCUAGCGUUAUCCGGAUUUAUUGGGUUUAAAGGGAGCGUAGGGGGAUUGUUAAGUCAGUUGUGAAAGUUUGGGGCUCACCCGUAAAAUGGCAUUUGAAACUGGCAGUCUUGAGUACAGUAGAGGUGGGCGGAAUUCGUGGUGUAGCGGUGAAAUGCUUAGAUAUCACGAAGAACUCCGAUUGCGAAGGCAGUUCACUGGACUGCAACUGACACUGAGGCUCGAAAGUGUGGGUAUCAAACAGGAUUAGAUACCCGGGUAGUC